rnacentral:misc_RNA from 1 species
CACCUUGGCAGCUGGAUGCUCCACUUCCAGCAUCUUUAGGAUAGUGGCACCAUCAUUGGUAAUUGUUACAUCACCAAUAUCAUCUACUAACAUCUUGUCUAGACCAACAGGACCAAGUGAAGAUUUGACAAUGUUGGCCACAGCUUGACAGGCCACCACAUUUUGAGUACGAACGUCCUGGCCGGAUUGCCGUUCACCUAGAAUGUCAAGAGCUUGUGUCGCGAUUGCCAUUUCUACUUCGAGUGACGUAAACGGCAAACCCUAGAUCGGAUCUGCGAGUGAAGCUGUAGAACAGAAAAUGAUGAACAGAAACCACCGGAGUAGGAAACAGAAAAACCUCUCGAAUGUUCGAAGAGAAGUCUC